ACGAUCGUACUUGCACUAACGCACCGGAUCCCAUCAGAACACCACAGUUAAGCAUGUUUGGGCGAGAGUAGUACUAGGAAGGGUGACCCCCUAAAAAGUCCUCAUGUUGCACCU